UACGUAGGGUGCAAGCGUUUGUCCGGAAUUAUUGGGCGUAAAGAGCUCGUAGGCGGCCUGUCACGUCGACUGUGAAAACCCAGGGCUCAACCCUGGGCCGGCAAGUCGAUACGGGCAGGCUAGAGUGUGGUAGGGGAGACUGGAAUUCCUGGUGUAGCGGUGAAAUGCGCAGAUAUCAGGAGGAACACCGGUGGCGAAGGCGGGUCUCUGGGCCAUAACUGACGCUGAGACGCGAAAGCGUGGGGAGCGAACAGG
rnacentral:rRNA from 1 species